GUGACAGAGGAGAGAGCUGAGAGGAGAAACGACAGCUCAGUUUGGACACACAUCACUGAGGAGCUGGAGCAGAGCAGCUAGCACUCAAAACUGGCAUGGUUUCUGCAGCACAGCAAUUAUAUGCAAGAAAAGCACCUUUCCUACCAGAGGCAGUACUGAGUGAGGAGAAGACUCAGCAAGCAGAAUAAUAAUAACUAAGUCCCUGACACCAUAGUGACGGACGUGAUCUAGGAACAGAGACAGAUGAUCCAGUAGCUGAAUGACUGAUCAUCUCCCUCAGAACACAGCAGGGGAACUUCAGGCGAUGUGCCUGUAAAGCACCGAGCACCUUCCACUCUUCCUGACCCCACCAAUUUUCUCUGCACAAACCAUCCAUAUGGAUUUGUCAUGUGGCCUCUGAGAGACCCUGAGGCCUUGUACAUCCCAGUAAGUCAAAGCAUAUGGGGUGGAGGAGCCACGUCCCUGCCUAAGCUUCUGCAAGUCCCUAAGGGUCAAGUUAAGUGCAAGCCUGAUCCUGUUGUCUGGACCAGGCUUGCCCAGUGCAUGCAUGCUUUAAACUGUCCAGCCUCAGCAGGCUGGGUUUCCUCUCAGCUGCAGAGCUCAAAGGAGGUGUCUCGCCCCGUGUGGUCCUGGGCAGCUCAGCAUCCCCACCAGACCAGGGGCACAUCUUUGUGGCUGGCUCAUCCUCACCUGCCUGAGGGGCUUCAGACCCUGGGGCUGGGAUGGGAGGUUGAGAAACAAGAGGGCUGAGGGACUGAAAGACUCCUCUGGAGCCAUGUAGUCCUUUCAGCAUUUCCAUGAGUUUAUUUUUCCUCUCGGACCCAGGGGCUUAUCAGCACUUCCCUGCCCCACAGGGAUGUUGGGAUGAGCUAAUCCAUUAAAAGCUGUGCAGUGCUGAGACACCAAGUCUACAACCCCACAAAUUAAUAAGAUGGGCCGAGGAAUGUUUUCGACCCGCAAGACCCAUUGGCAUGCCCUGCCAUUCCCGAAGGGAUGUGCUCCUGUCCCCCCAGAGCGGGAGAGCUGUGCCCAAACCACCUGCCAAGAACCACUCCAGCUCCUGAAAUAUGCCUGGGCAUUGGCAGCAAACUCAUGCAAGGGCAGUGCCAACCAUUUAAUUACAUGGGCAACUGCCUGGGCCUGUGCCCUGCCUCUACUUUAUUAAUUUAUUAGUACCUUGCUGCUAGCCUGCACUUGUACAGACAGAGAGCUUGCCGUUAGCAAGGACAAUAAAGUGCCUGUAAGGGAAAAGUCCAAAGUGUUUCAUUGGUUUUAGUAGAAAAAAGUGCUUUCUCCUCUGGGUUUCCAUCUCUUUUGUCCUGGUCACUGUGGAGCUGGGUUUGGUUGAUUCA